CGUCGCGUGGCACCACCCCUAGGUGGGCGGGGCCGCUGCCUGGCUCCAGGGUGACCCGGAUGUGUGGUCUUCAAAGACAAUGCACUUAACUCCUACGCUGAAACUAUCCAAAUUUACAGAAAGUGCUAAGCGGGCAUGGCGAGGGCAGUGGCGGACAGCCAGAUUCCCAGGACGAUGCCGGUAGCCCAGCGUGGGGUUCGGUGAAGCUGUGACCACACUGGGUGAAGAGUGAGAAGGUAACGGUCAAUGCUGAUGGCCGAGAGGAAGAAAAUAGAGGCGAACAUCCCUGCCGACAAAGUGACAUUGAAGAUCUUGCACAUGGCAGUUCCAAAGCUCCAGUGAUUGUCCUGAAGAUAGGUGGUGGCUAUAAAUGGUAGAAUCAAUGUUGAAAUAAAAUAGGAGAGAAU